GGCAAACCCGUAAAUGGAAUCGCCCUUCUCACCGUCGUCUUCCCAAAUCCGAUCGACCGUCUCGACUCCUCUUUCCCCUCCCGACUCGCCUCGUCGCCGCCCUCCGCUUCGCUUGUGCUUGCCCCCUCCCGAAGUCUCCCAGCUCCCCAAACCCGAUCGGCCUGAGCGCCAUUCCGGCAGGUGAGGGAGGCGGCGAUGUUCUUCUCCGGCGAUCCGUCGGCGCGGAAGCGGGUGGACCUCGGCGGGCGGAGCAGCAAAGAGCGCGACCGCAAGGUGCUGCUCGAGCAGACACGCGAGGAGCGGCGCCGGCGCCAGGGACUCCGCCUCCAGACCUCCUCUGCCACGAAGAUCCAGAAAUUCUUCAGAGGGAAGAAGGCUUUGGAAUUGGCACGUUCGGAAAUUCGGAAGAACUUUUGCUCUACCUUCGGGGAGCACUGCGAGAGGAUAGAUUGGAACAGUUUUGGCACAAAUUCUGAUUUUCUUCGUCAAUUGCUGUUUUUCUUCAAUGCAAAUGAAGACGAUGAUAUCGCUAUACUUUGUCAAGUCUGCAACUUGCUGCUACAAUAUGUUAAACAUGGCAGAGAUAUUGUAAUUCUCUUUGCUGACAUAAAUGACUCCUCACUGCAACCUCUAGUGGCUCAGAGAGUAAAAAAACUUACACUCAUCUGUGUGCAAGCAGUCUAUCAGAAGAGGCAUGAUUGGGGUAGCCAGCGUUUGACAGCAUCUGGAACCGCAUCAGUGCCUUCUGUCUCAUUACUAGAAACUGUAGCUUGCUUGAUAAAUCCUAAACUUCCGUGGAACUGCAAAGUAGUUGGGUAUCUUCUGCGGAGAAAGAUCUAUUGCUUAUUUCGGGGCAUUAUUCUUUCUGUACCGCAAAAUGCCAGAAAUUUGAGGCAUCAUGAUAAUGCAUCUGCGCUGGAGCAAGUUCUCAUGCUUGUUGCUUCACAUGUUGGGUAUCACCCAUGUAGUUGUCAGAUAGUGGAUCCAAGAUGGAGUUUCUCCUCUCAGCUUCUAUCCAUUCCUUUUCUAUGGCAUCGUUUGCCGCACCUCAAGAAGGUUUUCUCAGUUAACGGACUCAGCAAAUAUUAUAUCCAUCAAAUAGUGUGCUUUUUGCCCAGUCUUGCUGAUGUUCUUCCAAACGACAUAUCAGUUAAUCAUCCAGGAUAUGCUUGUGUCCUUGCAAAUGUUCUUGAAGCUGCAACCUGGAUUUUGUCUGAUGCAAAGUUUGCUUCUGACACAGCAGCUGACAUCAUUGCUGUUUCUACGUCGUUGUUGGAUGUGUUGCCAGCAAUCACAUCACCUACUGAAUGGGCAGAUGACGAUGAUGACAUGCCAAUGGAUGUUGAUUUUAAAAAUGGACUUGAUGCUGAUUUGGAAAGACAAAUAACUGCAGCAAUUGAUUCAAAGCUACUUCAACAUUUGGUGAAUGCACUCUUCAGAGGUAUAUCAAGCACAAACCAUUCUGAUCUUUCUGGACCAUCGGAUGUUGAGGUGGAAGCCGUAGGAUCUAUUUGCGCCUUUCUUCAUGUCACAUUCAACACAUUCCCUCUAGAGAGGAAUAUGACUGUGCUGGCCUACCGGACUGAAAUUGUUCCUGCACUAUGGAAUUUUAUAAAACGAUGCCAUGAUAACCGAAGAUGGCCAUAUUUUUCCAAGUUUGUGUCUUCGUUGCCUGCAGAUGCUCCUGGUUGGCUCCUGCCCGUGUCUGUAUUCUGCCCCAUAUACAAGCACAUGUUGAAGAUCAUUGAUAAUGAGGAAUUUUAUGAACAGGAGAAACCUCUUUCGCUUAAAGAUUUGAAGUCAUUGGUUCUCAUUUUAAAGCAGGCUUUAUGGCAACUUCUGUGGGUUAUUGCUCCCUCUUCUACUCAGAAAGCGUUACCCAACCCUUCAGGCCUUAAGAAACUGUCAGUUGAGAAUGUCAAGACAAGAGCUAGGGUUGGGUUAUCUGAACUACUCACACAGUUGCAAGACUGGAACAACCGACUCCCAUUCACUUCUGCAAGUGAUUUCUAUUCUCAAGAAGCAACAAGUGAAAAUUUUGUUUCUCAGGCAAUACUUGGCAAUACUCGAGCAUCAGAGAUUAUAAAGCUUGCUCCCUUUUUGGCGCCUUUUACCAGUAGAGUCAAAAUAUUCACUUCUCAAUUGGUGAGUUCUAGACAAUCGACUGCAUCCCAUUCUGCAUUGACAAGACAUCGGCUCAAAAUAAGAAGAAGUCGACUUCUAGAAGAUGCUUUUGAUCAGCUAAGUUUGCUUUCUGAAGAAGAUAUCAAAGGACCUAUUCGAGUGGCAUUUAUUAAUGAGCAUGGUGAGGAAGAGGCUGGAAUUGAUGGUGGUGGAAUUUUCAAGGAUUUCAUGGAAAAUAUCACUCGAGCUGCUUUUGAUGUACAGUAUGGUCUAUUCAAGGAAACAGCUGAUCAUCUUAUGUACCCAAACCCUGGAUCAGGAUUGGUUCAUGAACUGCAUAUGCAAUAUUUCCAUUUUCUUGGAAUUCUCCUUGGGAAGGCAAUGUAUGAGGGCAUACUUGUUGACUUGCCAUUUGCAACAUUCUUCUUGAGCAAGUUGAAACAAAAGUACAAUUUUUUAAACGAUCUGCCUUCAUUGGAUCCAGAAUUGUAUCGGCAUCUUCUAUUUUUAAAGCAUUACAAUGGUGACAUCUCAGAAUUGGAACUGUACUUUGUUAUUGUAAAUAAUGAAUAUGGUGAACAAUGUGAAGAAGAACUUCUCCCAGGUGGGAGAGACAUGCGUGUUACUAAUGAUAAUGUUAUUACUUUUAUCCAUCUUGUUGCCAACCAUCGGCUAAACUAUCAGAUCCGCGCACAAAGUACACACUUCUUGCGAGGUUUCCAACAGCUUAUACCAAAAGAUUGGAUCGAUAUGUUCAAUGAACAUGAAAUUCAGGUUCUCAUAUCUGGCUCUUUAGAAAGCUUGGACAUCGACGACUUGCGGUCAAACACCAACUAUUCUGCAGGAUAUCAUCCGGACCAUGAGCUUAUUGAGAUGUUUUGGGAGGUCUUAAAGAGCUUCAGUUCGGAUAAUCAGAAAAGAUUUCUCAAGUUUGUGACCGGAUGUUCUCGUGGCCCACUCCUUGGAUUUCAGUACCUCGAACCAAAAUUUUGCAUUCAGAGAGCUGGUGUUCCAGGCAUGGCGGAGCAUGGAGACCGCUUGCCUACAUCGGCUACUUGCAUGAACCUUCUGAAGCUGCCCCCUUAUAAAACCAAGGAGCAGAUGCAAACCAAAUUGUUGUAUGCGAUAAAUUCAGAAGCUGGUUUUGAUCUAAGUUAAUCGCGUUCAGGAUUCAAUAUUGUGCAGUGUAGAUAGUUGCUAGACAACAAGCUUAAAGGCACCCAGGGGCGAAGCACCGACCAUCGGGCCUCAUUUGAAGCCCCAUAAAGAAAAAGCAGAUGUUUCUCAGAGUAGAUGGAUAUCUGGAGGGAUGCCGCUAACUAGGCUCCCAAAAACAUAGGCAGAUGUUGUUUAAUCAGCCAUGAACAUUGUACAUAUGUAUUUUAUCGUUGUGGUUGAUGGCCUCUUGUGGUAUAAUAAAUGGUUCGUGAGGUAUUUGAGCCCUUUGGCGCCCCUUCAUGUGACUUCAGUGGGACACCGUUAAUCGCGCUAUAGCAGAGCGCCCGACGCACGAUGCAAGAUGAAUGCCAUCCACGCUCACGUUGCUCUUCUUAAUCACAAGAAGAAAAAAGAAAUGAGUCGCUUUCAGGAUGUCUCAGUAUGGUUCCGAUGCAAGAAAAGAUGAUUCCAUAGUUGUGCUUGUCUAUCUUUAGUCUAAUCUUCGAAUUUCAUCAUGGACUUAUAAAACCAGAUAUAUUUUAUUUUACAAUAUUAUUUAAAUUUCAUUUUAAAUUAUGAAAUCAGAUAUA